CGGCCUUCCAAAGUGGUGCAAUUACAGGCGUGAGCCGCUGCACCCGGCCAACACAACAUUAUUCUUCACAAGUGGAUAUAUUUGUGAUUAGUUUGUGCACAUUCCUCACUGAACAGCAGAAAUUUAAUCAAACACAUCCAGUCGAGUUGGGUCUUCUUCCCAGUUAUCUCUUUUCACCUCUUUCUCAUCCCCAAAUUUCUAUAAAUCCUCUCUGAUCCAAGUUCAUCUCUUGGCCUCAACUAAGGACAAUCAAGCUUUUGCCUACCUUACUUAAUAAAAAUGUAUGGCUUAGUUAGUAGAAUAAUUUCCAUUUAUUGUUCUCAAACAAGGCCAUUAAUGCCUUACCAACCUACCAAAAAAUAUUAUCUUGGGACUUCUGCUUUUGACAUGAUGGUGAACCAUAUAGUCGUAAAGAGCUCUUCUCUUACCAAACAACUUGAACCAACACAAAACCUAAUUUUUAUAAUAUUCUUGUAUCACAGAAAAUAGGAAACUUUCCAAAGGAAAACAACAACAACAACAACAACAACAACAACAACAGACACCCAGUGAGUCUUAAGUGCCUCUGAGAAGGUAGAGUUGAAGAGGGAGCAAACAAAAUUAAGAGAUCAACCCUGCAAUCCAGAAACUCAGCUGAUGGCCAGUGUUACAUAGAGCCAAGAUUUAAGUGCCACUUUGCUGCUCUUCCAGUAAACAAGACAGAUAACCAACUCAUGAGUUGCUCCAUUUUGCAUUUCUACCAGCAAUGUGACUACUCUCCCCUACCUUCAUCAACACAAGCCAUGCAGCCACCGCAGCAGGUGAUGCCUGGAUUCUGCUGCAUCCAGGCUGCAGAUGCCUGAUACCUGACACCCUCGGAACUGACGUCUGCACUGAGAGCACAUCUCCCAACUGCAGAGCCCAGGUGAUGGUGCUGCUGCCAGCAGAAGUGCUGAUGGGCCAAGCUCCUACAAAGCUUUCUUGGUCUUCUGGAGCCUUCAGUGUGUUGAAGCCACACCAAAGCAGAAGGCGCUUUCUCAUUAGUGGAAUAGUAUGUUAAUUGGACACCAAAGCUAUGCCAUAAAAUCAUCAACACUGUAUAAUUGUUGCUAUUGAAAUGCUUAUGGUUCAUUAUUAAACAUGCUCUUAUUAAAAAUUUGACCAUUUAUUCCACAACACCUAGGUCAUCACUCCACC
rnacentral:lncRNA from 10 species